GUAGCAGACAUUUUUUGUUUCGUUUUUUGAAUAAUUUUUCAAAAGAAAUUUUUUUCGUUUAAUUUUAUCGAUUGCUUUGGUGAUUUUUCGGGGAUUUCUCAAAAAAUAAAACAAAAUCUCAUAAGUGCUUUUGAACAUUGAAACGAAUGAUUGUAAUCAAUUCUAUAUUUUUUUGUCUGUAAUUUCUUGAAACCGGCGAUGCAAUUAAUUUCUUAAACCCAAUUUCAUUUGGACAAUAAAUUUUUUUAAAAUUUCGAUUUAGUGCCAACGAUCCGUUCGUUGUGGUGGAUAAAAUUGAUAGAGUUUUGCUUUCAAUUGGGGAAAAUCAAGAAAGUUGUUACGUAAUUAUGGGAAAUCCUUCCAUGACCAUGAAAAUAACGAUUACUAUUUGUUCGGCUGUGAUUUUGGUUGGAAAUGUAUGCUGCCAUCAAGCGAUGCAACGAUUUCGUGUGUCAACCGGAACAAUGUCACAAUUACAAGCACAUUUUCAUCAUCAUCAUUCGCAUACACAUUCCAAUUGCGCGCAAAUACAAAUACCUUUCUUGAUGAGCCUACCGUCAAAGUGUCACUACAGGCAAGUUAACAACGACUUUCGUAAGCUAAUGCAAUUUUAUUUCCAUUUUCAAUGCAUUUUGAUUGAACUUUUUAUCUUCUCAUUGUUAGUUUCAAUUCGUUGUGUUUGUUUUUUUCUGUCUCGUUUUUUUCCUCUGUCUUCUUCCAUUUCUGUUGACGUGUGCACACAUGCAGUUCUUUUUCUCUCUCACCAAUUCUAAAUGUCAUUCAGCCUGUGGCAGUCUGUCUCCGCUCAUGAUUCACUCGGCAGUUUGUAUCGAAAUUGAAUGAAAUAGAUAGAAGAAUAUGUGUCAGUUGCACUUGAAAAUAAUUAAAUUUAUGAUAGUGUGGCUUCAGUGUAGCACAACGAGCAACGAAAAAAAAAACAAACGCUAUAGAAAAAAGAUGAUAUACCACUAAGUGUGCACACUGCACAGUGUUGUUUGUUCAGCAAAUACAAUGUUCACCAUUGAAUUGAAAUUGCAAACUUUAAAUCGAUGCACGAGCAACGACUGAGUCAAAGCAACCCAUGCACAUCGUUUACGUAAACAGUGUGCUAGUACCGUUUUGUCUGAUCGGUUUUAUGUUGUUCGAUUGAAGCAAACAAAACUAAAAUAACAAUCUUCUGAUUAUGCUCUCUUUUGCUGCGGCAGCAGACAUCGCAAAUCCAAGUAGAAUCAAGUUUUCUGCAUGAAUAUCAAAAUGAAAUGCGACAUUUCUGCCUCUUGUAUAAACAAGCACACACUCGCUCAAAGUGUUGAAUUACCUGUAAAUCUUUUCUUAGAAAUUGUGAAAUCGACCAAACAACAUUUCUUCGCAACACUAUCAAAGCCAUAAUUCAUACAAAUUAUUGACGGCAUUCUCAAAUAUUUAUAUCGUUUAUGGCGGCUUUCAAUCGGCAUAAAUAAACGCUAUUAAUACAUUUGCCUUUGAUUAUAUUUAUAUUUUAUUGAUGAUAUACGCAGCCAUCCACAAUGUGGAUAAACAUUUCAAAUGAUUUCGAUAUAAGCAUAGUUUAUACUGGUGCUAUUCGUUUUGUCUUUUGUCAAAAAAAAGAGAAGAAGAUUGCUUUCAAUUGCUUUCCAUUCGUCAUCAAUUAAAACGCAAAUGUUAGCGAAUCUUUCCGACGAAUAAUAAUCAAUUCCAAGAAGCGCUUAAUUGAAAAGGCUCCUAUGAAACAAAAAAACGAAAACAAAAACGGGCGGCAAUUAUUAUUAAAUUUUUUCCAGUCGAUUGACAAAAAAAAUUGGCAGUUGAUGCAGAAAAUCUCGGCGGUUUUUCGCUAAAAAUAAACAAUCGCAACUCGUUAUCCAAACGAGUUUAAGUAUUAUACAAUGCAUGCCGGUUAUGUAAGUGGUAUGUUUUUCCUCUUGGUUAUGGGAAAAUCAAGGCUUUUUCUGUUGAUAAUGGUGCGACCGUCAUAAGACCGACUUUGUUUUUGUUUUUGCUAUAAUAAUUUGCGUCACAUGAUCCAAUCCAAUCCUUGCCACAUACUCAUACAUUUGCAUUGCAGCAGAUGGUGGCGUCGGCGCAUUCGCUUACUGCUUGAACUUUUUCCAGACCAUGCAACCACACAUAAUCACACACACACAUACAUACACAAAAGCCCUGUGCAAAAUCCAAUUCUGCGCCAAUUUUGAAAAAUAAACUAAAGUCGAUUUUCUGUCGAUUUGUGCAAAAUUCCUACCAUUCACCCCAUCUCAAUAUAAUGAUCAAAUGGUUGAUGACAUAAAGCGAUAGGAGAAGGUUGAAACAAUUUGAUCUAGUCGUUAUCGGCUACGUUUUGAAUGGGAUCUAUUCAGCUAUUUGAAUAAGUGUGAGUGAAAGGUAGAGAUAGAAUGCACUUCUGGCAAUAAUCAAAGGAUUUGUUAUGCGGCACCAUAUGGUCUGAUGUUCGGUGGUGAUAGCAAGAAUAAGACGAAUUCAAGGUUGGUCAAGUGGACGAUAUGUAUGGACAGAGACAGAGAGGGAGAGUGCGAGAAAGAGAUAGAGCAAAAGGGAGAAGGAGAGAGAGGGAGAGUGCACUUUGAAUCGAUUUCGGAGAGCAUCUCUCAUGUGGAUGAAAACCCAUUACAUAACUGUUGCAUAAUAGAUGUCGACGCUCUCGCAUUCUUUCGCAUAUCAAAUGCGACAAAACUGAAAUGAAAAUGUUGAAAAUCUCUUUGAUAGAUUUUUCUGCUGCUGAAUAUUCAUUUUUAAAAUCACACUUCCACUUCAAUAAUGUAGAGGAGCUUGUGCGUGUAUUUUUGUUUAUUCGGUUGAAGAAAGCAAAAGAAAGAACUUUUCCGACUGCCGCUAUUGGUGUGCCGCUUAUUAUGUAACUCGUCGGUUGUAGUUUUUAUUUUCACAAUUUCAACAGCGCCUGAUGAGAAGUGAACGUAACAAAGAAAAGAGAAGGUCAGUAGAAAAACGUUGAAAAAACGUGCCAAAACAGCAAAAAUUUUGUCAUUUUCGGCUGAAUUUCCGGUUUGGCGUGAUGACAAAAAUCUUCUGCUGGUGAUGGAUCGUUGAAAACAGAUGAAAAUAAUUGCUAAUGGCCGUCAUAUACAGCUUAAUCUGCCAUCGACCUAAACGAAAAAAAAACCGCUGUGUAGCAAAGAAAAAUAUCCACGAUAAACAAAUUCACGAUGAACUUUUGAAUCUUUUGUUUGUUUUUUUUUUAAAUAUUUUCCACAAAAUAUAUUCGUUUACGUUACGAAACACCGUGUGUGACGAUAUGAAUAAACAAAUCACACCCACACCCGUUUUAAAUCAUAUGAUUUGAGAUGCUGGUAAAAAUCUUACGACCGUUGUCAGUUUUGCCCAAAACGAAAAGCAAAAACGAAAAUAAUUUGGAAAUUUUCCAACCGAACAGUUGAUAACAAACACAUUGGCUUUAUUUAUUUUUAUAUCGAAAUUGAUGAAAAAAACAAACCACAUCUAGUGUUUUAUUAUUCAAUAUCUUCGGGAAAAAGAAUAAUCAAGUUUUUCAGCGUUAAUGAAUGAACAACUUCAUCAAAUUUCCAAUAAGUGUGGAAAUCAUGACACAUGGCAGGUGUCCAAAGUCUGAAUAUUUGAUGAGAAAACCCCAAAAUAACUAUAUUUUUUUCCUAAAGUUUUGAAUAAUUUAUGGCUGUUUUGAAGAAGAAAAAAAAAACGAAAUUCUGAUUGUUUUCAAAGACACUUGAAACGUUCUAUAUCUUGAAGUGGAUUGAAUUUUCAAAAGCAAGUGAUUUUAUCGCUUCGUCGAAAAUCAAUCAGCGCAAGACAACUAUCGUGACCCAUCAAGCGAGUCCUCGAGUUUGAAUGAGUGAUCGAACAUAAUGAAUUCGACUGAAAUGAACUUGAACUUAAGCCAUACACUAAUUCAUUUACUGUCAAUCGAUAAGUAGUGUAACACUACACAAAACCCAUUAAAUCAUGUACGAACAAGAAAAAAAAACCACACCACAGGACACGUCAAACAGAGAAAAUCGAGAAAAAAGAAAUGUGAAAAAAAUAAUUAUCGUUCGUUAACCGUUUACCGCGCACUUUUUCUUUAUGAAAAUGUAUAGGGGAAAUGAAUUGUAAAUGAGUCUCAAAUAGAAUGAAGUGAAGCUGAAAAGUCGAAAAUGAAGCAUUUUCACAUUAAUGCGACAAAGGAGUCAUUUUUCAGCUGUUCGAGACACAACGCUAAAGAGCAUUUUUAUUAGAUGUGGCAAAUGCCCGGGCCAAAUUGCAACAUUCGAAAUACCUUAAAAUAUCAUCGGUUUGGUGCGGUAUCGGUUGUUCUUGUUGUUGUUUUUGUUCGCGUGAUUCGGUCGAUUCACGAAACCGUCUACCGGCUAACAAACGACUGAAAAUACACAUACACACACAAAUCGCUUUUAUGAGAUUUUAAUGAUGAACCGAAAAUAGUUCAAAAACCGGCUAGCUGCUACACAUUAUGAAUACCAUUUUCCAUUUAACGAUUUUCUCCGUUUUCCAUUUCCCACCCAUUUCGUCGCAUGUUCGUUCAAAUGGUUCACAAUAGUUGUGGAAUCGUUUUUGCAUCGUUGUUUCAAACGAUCAACUGCAUAACGAAUUUAGUGAAGUAAUAAAAAACAAUCAAUAAAUCGGAAUUUCCGAUGCUAAAUAAUUAAUGGGAAUCCUUGUGGAUUUUUCCAAAUGUACGUUAAAUUUUCGUUCACAUGCCGAAUUAUUGAACUGUCAAUCGAUUAGGCAGCAUUAACCGUAUAGUAUUUCCUUUUCAAAAUUGUCAACGCCCAUCGAAUUAAAAGCGAAACCAAGCAGUAAUGCAUUUAUGUCAUAUGUAUGUUGGUAAAUCGACGAAAAAUUGGUAAAAUUACCAAUUUGAGUUCGUGUCUAUUUCAAAGGCAUAAAACCCAGAUUGAGUGUGUGUGUGUGCUGCACAUACACAAUAUCGCUAUAAAUUACUAUGUUCAUGCGCUUGUUGUAAUGAAAAUAAAAGCUUCAGUAAGAAGCUGUUUCACUUUUUAGCCAUUUCCACCGCGUCUACUACAUGCAUCGGAUAGGUGAUUUAUUUUUAACUUUGAUUUCGGUGCUCUUCUUCAUCACUCGUUGUUUAUGUGUAGUUUUUUUUUCGAUCGCUCGUCAAAGGCCGUCUAGCGAAUUUAAAUGUUUCAAAUGCGACAAACGAGACAUUUGAUAUCUCGUUUCAAAUGUGCAACAUAAUACACACACAUAUAAUCGCCCCCCGAUUAAAAACCGCGAUGCGAUGUCACAUUUUAUUCGUCAAAUUAAACAAACGAAGUGAAUACAAUUCAAUUUUGAAUCACAUUUAAUGCCAAUAAUUGUGUAAAGCGUAGACCAAAAUGAAGAGCAUAUUGAAAAAAAUCAACCAGACAAAUUCAAGCAAACACACAAACCAUAUGUAUUUUUAGCAAACGGAAUACAAGAGCAACACAGUAUACUGUUGUGCAGGAUGCACACAAUACACCGUUUGAUUACACACACUCGAAAUGAGAUCAACCGUUGAGAUAAAAAUCAAUAACAAUUCGACUAAUGCAACAGUGCAAAUUGCUUUGUUAUUGCAUCAAUAAACAUAGGAUUGCACAAUACAAGGCCAAAAUAUCAUUAUUCUCAAGCAAUCAAUAAAUUCAGUAGAAAAAAAAGUAAAUAAAAAGGCCCCCAGACAUUCCUUUUGAUUUUCUCAUCUCGAUGUAAUGCUGGCGGCUACUCACAUUUCUGAGAAAUAUUCGAAUAUCGCAUGUAAUUGAAAAUAGUUUAGAAUUGAAAAAACCAUGCUACACGCAUCAAAUGAGAACAAAUCAAAUGAAAUGCGUGAGUUAUCCGUACAAUGAUGACAACAAAAAAACACAGUGCGUUUCGUUUUGCCCGCAUUGAUAUGCGGAUUUUGUGAGUGUGUGUUUGUGUGUGUGGACAAAGAGGCUAACAAUCGAGGGAGAAUGAGACAGCAAGAUGCUGACAGAUCUAAGCCAAGCCAAUUGCACGCAAACCGACAACGACGAAGGAAGAAUUUCAUUUAAAUUAAUUGAACAAUUUGGUUCAUUUUACGUCUUUGAAAUGCAAAUAUUGAGCAAGAGCGAGAAGGUUUAUUCGCGCGCACAUCCGUUGUGAUGGAAUUAAUUUUCGGCAUUUCUGCGGAAUAUAAUGAAAAAUAUGUUUUACAAUUAGUUAGAAGAGCUCAAAAUCGAUUGAAAAAAGCGACACGAUCUCGGCUUCAAUUGACCGUAAAUUUAGCUUGAUUUUCCAUUGCUUAGUCAAAUAAUAUUUUAUAUUUUUGAUUGCGGCUUUACAAACU